GCGUCGGUAGCGCAACUGGUUAAGCACGCGACUCCCGGAAUGGUGACUUGCGGGUUCGAGCCCCUCCCGGUGACA